ensembl:lncRNA
GCAGGGAAUGAAUUAACGAUGACAAAGACUUCUAAAGGAAAGACACGAGGGGAAGAGAGGCCAGGGUCCCCGACUAGCAGGAGUCCGACUCAGGUGUGUCAGGCUGAGGGAACAUAAGGCCAUCUUUGACCACACAAAUGUGUUCCCUCUCUUAUAACCACUUAGCUCCCAGAACUAACACAAGAGAAGCAGGAAUCCCGAGUCCAAGAAGCCAAAGAGUAGAGUUUGAAUCUUGUUAUUGAGAGCGGGGGGACCUGGCACUGAGUCAUUGAUCAGGGUCCUGGGAAUAUUUUCGCCACAACUCGCCGAGGCAGGGAGGUGCUCAGGUAGCCCUGCUGUUGUCUUUGUGGCAAAGCCGCGACUGAGCGCUGCUAGAUGCAGCCCUGUCCCCAAGCGCUCUGACAUGCUAGCUCCAUGUGGCCAUGCACCUCUGAGACCAGAGUGACUGCCUUGCUCUUUCCUUGUUUGUUGUAGGUACCUCCCAGGAAGCAUCACAGACAACCACCACUCCUGGAAUCAGUGGCACAGAGGCCACCACUUCCAAGGAACACAUUCCAACCACUGAAGCAGAGACUUCCCCUGGUGAGUGUCCUCAAGUUUUGCAGCCCCCGUGGCUUUUCUGUUGGAGUCGGCUCUCUACAGAGCAUCGGCCACGAAUGUGCAUGUGGCAGGGGAGUGGUAGUUUUGCUGUCCAGGACACCUCGUGAGGCCAACCAAGAUUCGAUCCCAGGUUAUCCCCAGAGGACACAGUAGAGGUGUCCUCUAUCAAUGCCUGCCGUCUGUAUUUUUCUUUUGCCAUGUUCUACCCCAGACUUGGGAGAGGUCACCAGUGGCAAAGAAGGUGAUUAGAGAUCAUGACAACAGUGGUUGAAAAUAUGAUCAGGAAGACUUUGGUUAAAUGCUUGACCCUUGGUCACAUACUAAAUAAUUUUUAUUUAAUGUAUCCUUUGGAGAAUUAGGGGCUGAAGGCACUGGAAGAAAAUCAUGUGCACAGAAAAAAAAAGUCCUUAAAUUUACAGUCAAAGUCAUAAUGAUUCUAGAUCUAGAGAAAUGAGACCUCUGAGGCCGUUGUCAGCAGUCUCCCCCAUUUUUACCUUGGACCUUGAAUCAAGAGGGAAGGCAGUGGAAAACAUAUCCACUCAAGCAUUUGGUGCAAGAAAAUUUGUCCAAGGUCUUUCUAUUUCUUAAGAGACAAAAGAUGCCAUGGUUUCCUUAGGUUGAGAGAGGCUUUGUCAGGCUCUGUGAGACUUAGUCUCUCUUCUUUUUCAGUUACCAGUAGGGAAGCCUCUGGCACGAGUAGUCCUGGAAGUUCCAACCCAGAUAAGUAACCCUUAGCAAGAUGUUGUAGUUACCUAAUCCUGGACAAAAAGGCUCUGCCCUCUGGAUCGGGCGUUCUGUUGUAGCUGGCACGGAGCAGCCCCUACCUCACUCCUCUUGCUCUUCCCAGAGGACCAGUGAGUGUCCAUCAGUGGUUCUCAGCCCCUGUGUUGAGACUCCAGACCUUGUAUUCCACACGGGGAAGGUGGCAGGGAAACAGGCAUAGGGCCACGUCUCCUUAGGGACCUUACCGCUCCAAGCAUCUAAGGU